rnacentral:rRNA from 1 species
CCUACGGGAGGCAGCAGUGGGGGAUAUUGCACAAUGGGGGAAACCCUGAUGCAGCGACGCCGCGUGAGUGAAGAAGUAUUUCGGUAUGUAAAGCUCUAUCAGCAGGGAAGAAGAAAGACGGUACCUGAGUCAGAAGCCCCGGCUAACUACGUGCCAGCAGCCGCGGGAAUACGUGGGGGGCAAGCGUUAUCCGGAUUUACGGGGUGGAAAGGGAGUGUAGACGGUAUGGCAAGUCUGAAGUGAAAGACCCGGGCUCAACCUGGGAACUGCUAUGGAAACUGUUAAACUAGAGUGCUGGAGAGGCAGGCGGAAUUCCUAGUGUAGCGGUGAAAUGCGUAGAUAUUAGGAGGAACACCAGUGGCGAAGGCGGCCUGCUGGACAGUAACUGACGUUGAGGCUCGAAGGCGUGGGGAGCAAACAGGAUUAGAUACCCGGGUAGUC